rnacentral:rRNA from 1 species
AUUGAACGCUGGCGGCAGGCCUAACACAUGCAAGUCGAACGAGUGGCGGACGGGUGAGUAAUGUCUGGGAAACUGCCUGAUGGAGGGGGAUAACUACUGGAAACGGUAGCUAAUACCGCAUACCAUCAGAUGUGCCCAGAUGGGAUUAGCUAUUUGGUGGGGUAACGGCUCAGCAAGGCGACGAUCCCUAGCUGGUCUGCGAGGAUGACCGGCCAAAUGGGAACUGGAACACGGUCCAGACUCCUAGGGGAGGAAGAAGUGGGGAAUAUUGCACAAUGGGCGCAAGCCGAAUGAAGACAGCCGGCGUGUAUGAAGAAGGCCUUCGGGUUGUAAAGUACUUUCAGCGGGGAGGCGUUACCCGCAGAAGAAGCACCGGCUAACUCCGUGCCAGCAGCCGCGGUAAUAC